UACGGAAGGCAGCAGUGGGGAAUAUUGCACAAUGGGCGCAAGCCUGAUGCAGCCAUGCCGCGUGUACGAAGAAGGCCUUCGGGUUGUAAAGUACUUUCAGUCGUGAGGAAGGUGUUAAGGUUAAUAACCUUAGCAAUUGACGUUAGCGACAGAAGAAGCACCGGCUAACUCCGUGCCAGCAGCCGCGGUAAUACGGAGGGUGCGAGCGUUAAUCGGAAUUACUGGGCGUAAAGGGCACGCAGGCGGUUAAUUAAGUUGGAUGUGAAAUCCCCCGGGGCUUAACCUGGGAAUGGCAUUCAAGACUGGUUAGCUAGAGUCUUGUAGAGGGGGUUAGAAUUCCAUGUGUAGCGGUGAAAUGCGUAGAGAUGUGGAGGAAUACCGGUGGCGAAGGCGGCCCCUGGACAAAGACUGACGCUCAUGUGCGAAAGCGUGGGGAGCAAACAGGGAUUAGAUACC
rnacentral:rRNA from 1 species